rnacentral:tRNA from 1 species
GUAAAUUUAUAUAUAUAUAUAAUUAAAUUGCAAAUUUAAUUU